CUGAGAGGGGACAUGAUAGCAGUUUUCAGGUAUCUAAAAGGGUGUCAUCAGGAAGAGGGAGAAAACUUGUUCACCUUAGCCUCCAAUGAUAGAACAAGAAGCAAUGGGCUUAAACUGCAGCAAGGGAGAUUUAGGUUGGACAUUAGGAAAAAGUUCCUGACUGUCAGGGUAGUUAAACACUGGAAUAGAUUGCCUAGGGAAGUUGUGGAAUCUCCAUCUCUGGAGAUAUUUAAGAGUAGGUUAGAUAAAUGUCUAUUAGGGAUGGUCUAGACAGUAUUUGGUCCUGCCAUGAGGGCAGGGGACUGGACUCGAUGACCUCUCGAGGUCCCUUCCAGUCCUAGAGUCUAUGAGAGGUGGUACUUGGGGGAG